AUCGAACGCUGGCGGCAUGCCUAACACAUGCAAGUCGAACGAGUGGCGGACGGGUGAGUAAUGUCUGGGAAACUGCCUGAUGGAGGGGGAUAACUACUGGAAACGGUAGCUAAUAACGCAUACCAUCCGUUGUGCCUAGAUGGGAUUAGCUAGUGGGGGGGGUAAAGGCUCACCAGGGAGACGAUCCCUAGCUGGUCCGAGAGGAUGACCAGCCACACUGGAACUGGGACACGGGCCAGACUCCUAAGGGAGGAAGCAGUGGGGAAUGUUGCACAAUGGGCGAAAGCCUGAGGCAGCCAUGCGGCGUGGGGGAAGAGGGCCUUCGGGUUGUAAAGCACUUUCAGCGGGGAGGCGGUACUCGCAGAGGAAGCAACGGCUAACUACGUGCCAGCAGCCGCGGUAAUUC
rnacentral:rRNA from 1 species